GAUGAACGCUAGCGGCAGGCCUAAUACAUGCAAGCCGAACGGCAAGUCUGAUAGCAAUAUUAGACCUAGAGUGGCGUAAGGGUGCGUAACACGUAUGCAAUCUACCCGCAACAGGAGGAUAGCUCGGGGAAACUCGAAUUAACCCUCCAUAAGAUCUUAGACCGGCAUCGGUUAGAGAUUAAAUCUGAGGAGGUUGCGGAUGAGCAUGCGUCUGAUUAGCUAGUUGGCGGGGUAAUGGCCCACCAAGGCGAUGAUCAGUAGGGGAACUGAGAGGUUGAUCCCCCACACUGGCACUGAGAUACGGGCCAGACUCCUACGGGAGGCAGCAGUAGGGAAUAUUGGACAAUGGGUGAAAGCCUGAUCCAGCCAUGCCGCGUGCAGGAAGAAGGCCUUCUGGGUUGUAAACUGCUUUUAUCUGGGGAUAAAAGGCCUUGCGAGGCAAACUGAAGGUACCAGAUGAAUAAGCCACGGCUAACUACGUGCCAGCA
rnacentral:rRNA from 1 species